ensembl:lncRNA
CAAAGACCAAGUUAAUUAGCUGAAGGCUGACCUCAGAGGAUACUCAUUAGGCCAAGUGUUUCCAACUGCACAUUGCAAAGUGAUGGAAAUGGACGCCUGAACACCCGAGUUCUGCACUCCUCCGGGUGUUCACCCUCAGCAGGCUCCUCAAAAAUGCAACUGUAGCGGAUAUAACCUCUCAUUUAGGGGUUGUUAUAAACCUUUCUCCAGUCUCAGGCCACAGAUGGUCUACUGAGUUCCACCGAGAAGAAAAAUUUCUGCAGCGCUUGCUCUCCUGGCCCUCAGGUGAAUGAACAUGGUCCAGUAGGCUCACACCACCCUGCUGACCUUGGGCCUUCAUUGCGAGCCACGUGACGCAUGUUUAGGGUGCCUAAGACAUGUAAUGCCUCAGCUUGGGCUAAGGCGGGAGCCUCUCUGCAGGUCUCCAGUGUGCUGCCCAGGAAUGCUCAUCACCAUCUCAGAAUCCAAAGUGGACAUAUUUAUAGUGUCUCCUGACUUUGAAAGGAGUUAAGAGCAGAGAGCAGAAAAUAGUUGGUCUGAAUGGGAAAUGAAAAUCAAAUAUUCUCUUAUUCUAAAGGGCACUGUGAACAAGAAUUAAUAAUGUAAGAUGCAAGACAUGCUAUAUAGCACUCUGAAAAAAUAUGAUGCCUACGUAUUUAGUUUAAGGCAAAAUGGCCUCGAACCCAGCCCCGGAGAGACAGCAGUGAACAGAACAGCAACCCCAGCCCCAGGGAGUUUACCUUCUCUGAAGGGAGACAGGAAAUAACAGAUAAGGAUCUCCAGAGACUCUGCUUCUGUGAGGCCACCUAAACUAUGAUCCCAUAAAAUUAAAAUGAUGAGAUGGAAAACCACAGAAAGCACCACACACCUGGCAGCUGAGCGGAACUUUGUGUUGCCAAAGGGGCCCAGGCCUGGGCUUCUGCCAUGUGAUUCCCUGCCCACCUUCUACCCAGAGGGGACUGCUAAUUUUUAAAAAUAGGUUUAAUACAGUCGUACACUCUAAUGUACUCUGUACUAUCUUCUUCCUGUGGGUGCACUUUUCAACUGUUACAAGAAGUUCAGUCCCUUGUGAAGCAUGAGUUUGUAAAGAUUUAUAUCAGUUUUGUUGUCUCUGUUAAUUUUAACCAAGUGGUGUAUCCUGAUAUAUGAUAUGAAUUUAGAGUUAGUAGAUCUCAUUUCUGGAGAAGGAAAUGGCAACCCACUCCAGUGUUCUUGCCUGGAGAAUCCCAGGGAUGGGGGAGCCUGGUGGGCUGCCGUCUAUGGGGUCGCACAGAGUCAGACACGACUGAAGUGACUUAGCAGCAGCAGCAGCAGCAGAUCUCGUUUCAACACUCUAGAGUUUGGAAAGUGUCCCAGAAGCCAGUAAGAAACCAAGCUUCUGCAGAACUGUGGGCAGGUGCUUUCACCUCUGUUUUCUCAUCUGUCACCAGGGCACUACUAUGGCCAUACAAGUCUGUAUACAAGUGUCAUACAAUUUCAAGGAGACUGUUCACAUCGUAACUGAACAACAAAGCGGUCUGUCUGUAACAGGAAGAUAGGAUGCAUCAUCUCAGUCACUCAGUAGUGUCUGACUCUUUGUGACCCCAUGGACUGUAUCCAACCAGGCUCCUCUGUCCAUGGGAUUCUUCAGGCAAGAAUACUGGACUGGGUUGCCAUCGGGCAUCUGUAUUAUGCAUAACCUGGAUCUGUCCAAUGGCAGAGAUGCUUGCUCAACCAUGAAGAUCAAAUUUUCUCCUCCUGGUGCCAGCCCUGCCACUCCUUAAAAGAUUGCAGCCCACCAGGCUCCUCUGUCCAUGGGAUUCUCCAGGCAAGAAUACUGGAAUGGUUGCCAUGCCCUCCUCCAGGAGGUAUUCCUGACCCAGGGAUCAGACCCACGUCUCAUAUCUCCUGCAUUGGCAGGGCAAGAACCUUGACUCUUUAUGGACAUGUCCUAAAUGCCUAGCACAAUGGCUCAUCUAUAACAGACUGUUGAUGGUGUUACUGAAUUAUGUCCUGCUGAUUUUGGAAUCUUGAUCAUUGAUGUGGCUAAUAUAUCAAUAAAAGUGGGGAAAAUGUUAGUCACUCAGUUGUGUCUGACUCUGUGACCCCAUGGACUGUAGCCCACCAGGCUUCUCUGUCUGUGGAAGUCUCCAGGCAAGAAUACUGGAGUGGACUGACAUUCCCUCCUCCAGAGGAUCGUCCCCACCCAGGGACUGAACCUGGGUUAUAACUAAUUAAAUGUGGCUAAUUAUAUCAUUAAUUAAUGUGGCUAAAAUAUAUCAUUAAAUGGUAUAAUUUUCUAUAAUAUACAGUAAUGGUGCUUACUAUAUGACUUUUGUGUUUAUAUCCAUUUAUAAUAUAUCAAGGCAUAACUCCAGGUUCUUUGAAGGACACUGCUUAAUAAAGAGCAGUGAAAACUGAGGAGUUGAUGGAAAUUCUGACAUUACUUCCACCUUCUUUCCCCUACCACUGCUCUUACCAUCCACAAGAAAUUGUUCAUGACCUCAAUUUGGAGUCAUCUUUUACUCAGGAAUAUCGCAUCUGUAACAGGUAUUUAGUGCUUUAAGAUGGCUAAAAUUGCUUUGACACUCCUCCCACUAAGAAGUUGUGUCCAUGUCCUUGUUUCCUAGAGUCGGGAUAUACUCUGUGACUCUUUUAACCGAAACAGAAUAGCAGAAGUGAGUUGUGCCAGUUUCUGAGACAAGGCUGUAAAAGACUGGCCGCUUUUACACCCUGUCUCUUGGAGCGUAUCUUGAAUCUUCACCUCAGGGAGGAGUUAGCUGCUGUGCGUGAAGCCUGACUAUACUGACACAGCCAUGGGUGAAGACUACGUGCUAAGUCUUUGCUGGCCCAGCCAUCCCAACCUGGGCACCAAGACCAGUAGUCAAGGAGCCAUGUUAGGCCUCCUAAUCCCAGCAAACAUGCCAAGAAGAAAAAUGAAGAUCCCAGACAUACGGCCUCAGUCUAGCCAUCCCAGCAGCUCCCAGCUAUUCAAGCAACCCCAGCUGUGGCCACAAACGUCAUGUAUCAGACUCUCAAGCUGUCCCUGCUGUGCUGGCUCUAAUCCCUGACCCACAGAAUCAUAGGCAUCAUGGACAUAGUAAGAGUUUCACAGGUUUCCCUGGUGACUCAGUUGGUAGAGUCUGCCUGCAGCGCGGGAGACCUGGCUUCAAUCACUGGGUCGGGAAGAUCCCCUGGAGAAGGAAAUGGCAACCCACUCCAGCAUUCUUGUCUGGAGAAUUCCCCAUACAGAGGAGUCUGGUGGGCUAUAGUUCAUGGGGUCACAAAGAGUCAGACACAAUAUGUGGGAUCUUAAGUUCCCCAAUCAGGGCUCAAACUCACACCCCCUGUACAAGAAGUGCUGAGCCUUAACCACUGGACCACCAGAGAAGUUCCGUGUUUGUUUUAAAUAAAUACAUCAUUGGAGUGCUCAUACAUUUCAUUUUUGGAUCAAAUGGAAUUUUAAAUUUAGAAGGACUUUUCCAAUGAGUCGUCCGUUCACAUCAGGUGACCAAAAUACUGGAGCUUCAACUUCAGCAUCAGUCCUUCCAGUGAACAUUCAGGAUUCAUAUCCCUUAAGAUUGACUGGUUUGAUCUUGCUGUCCAAGGGACACUCAGGAGUCCUUUCCAGCACCACGGUUUGAUGGCAUCAAUUCUUUGGCAUUCUGCCUUCUUUAUGGUCCAGCUCUCAAAACUGUACGUGGCAGCUGGGAAGACCAUAGCCUUGAAUAUACAGACCUUUGUCGGCAAAGUAACAUCUCUGUUUUUCAACACACUGCCUAGAUUUGUCAUCACUUUCCUGCCAAGAGGCAAUCAUCUUCUGAUUUCAUGGCUGCAGUCACCAUCCACAGUGAUUUUGGAGCCCAAGAAGAGGAAAUCUGUCACUGCUUCCACCUUUUCCCCUUCUAUUUGCCAUGCAGUAAUGGGGCCGGAUGUCAUGAUCUUAGUUUUUUUUAAUAUUUAGUUUUAAGCUGGCUCUUUCACUCUCCUCCUUCACCCUCAUCAAGAGGCUAUUUAGUACUUCUUUGCUUUCUGCCAUUAGAGUGGGAUCAUCUGCAUAUCUAAGGUUGUUGAUGUUUUUCCCGCCUAUCUUGAUUCCAGCUUGAAACUUGUCCAGCCUGGUAUGUCUCGUGAUGUGCUCAGCAUAUAGGUUAAACAAACAGGGUGACAGCAGACAGCCCUGUCAUACUCCUUUCUCGAUCUUGAACCAAUCAGUUGUUCCAUACGGGGUUCUAACUGUUGUUCCUUGACCUGCAUACAGGUUUCUCAGGAGACAGGUAAGAUGGUCUGGUAUUCCCAUCACUCUAAGAGUCAUGAUGCACGUAGUCAAAGGCUUUAGCGUAGUCGAUAAAACAAAGAUAGAUGUUUUUCAGAAAUUCCCUUGCUUUCUCUAUAAUCCAGCGAAUGUUGGCAAUUUGAUCUCUAGUUCCUCUUCCUUUUCUAAACCCAGGUUGGACAUCUUGAUUCAUGUCAUGCUGAAGCCUAGCAUGGAAAAUUUUAAGCAUGACUUUUCUAGCAUGGAGAUGUGUGCAAUUGUCCGAUGGCUAGCACAUUCUUUGGUACUACCCUUCUUGGGAAUUGGGGUGAAGGUUGGCCUUUUCCAGUCCUGUGACCACUGCUGGGUCUUCCAGAUUUGCUGACAUAAUGAACGUAAAACCUUGAUGGCAUCAUCCUUUAGGAAUUUGAAUAGUUCUGCUGGAAUUUCAUCACAUCUACUAGCUUUAUUAACAGCAGUACUUCUUAAGGCCCACUUGACUUCACACUCCAGAAUGUCAAAAGAGAUACUUCCUAU